rnacentral:lncRNA from 1 species
UAUAUAUAUAUAUUACACACACGCAUGCUGCCGGCAGGAAGGAGAGGAGUUGACAGAAUUGUGCUGAAAUUUUGAUACGUCUAUUAAUCGCGUUUUGUCGAUUUUUGGUGAUAUCUUUUCUCCUUUGUUUGUUUACUUUCAACAUUAUGCUUGGCUAAAUUAUUUUGUGCUAGGAUUUGCGAUGAACCUUAUAUUAUUAACCUUUAAUCCUGAAUUUUAUUUAUUUUGACGUUAAAA